UCUAAAGUUUAUAUUAUAUUUCUCUUUUAGUUGCUAAAAAAUGAAUUUGAAGGCUCUUGUUUUCCUGGGUCUUUUGUUUUCAGUAGCAGCACUUCCCUCCUGUUGUACAGCGGUAGCUGAAACAUCCCAGUUAGACCAACUAAAUCAGAGGAUAGUAAUAAAGUUGAGGAUGCAAAGCAUUACAAAUGCCAACAUCGAUGCUGCAAACCCUAUAGAGGAGUUGGUGUUGCAGCGCUAGCGAGGCUCGGCUCAUGGGAGAGACCACCCAAGACAACGGAGCAAAGAAUGCGGUAGAGGAAACUACAAAUAAAGUUGAGGAAGCAAAGUAUUCCAAGUGCAAACAUCGAUGUUGCCGUCCCUCAAAAGGAUGCUGGUGUUGCAGCGCUAGUGAGGCUGAGGCUCAACCCAUGGAAGGAAGCAACGCUGGUACACAUGGAAAUGAAGGCCAACCAAGAGAAGUUCACAAAUGGAGAGA